GCGGAUAUAGCUCAGCAGGCAGAGCGCGGCCACGCCAUGGCCGAGGCCCGGGGUUCGAUGCCCCGUAUCCGCUCCA
rnacentral:tRNA from 1 species